AGCGAACGCUGGCGGCAGGCCUAACACAUGCAAGUCGAGCGGGCACCGCAAGGUGUCAGCGGCAGACGGGAGAGUAACACGUGGGAACGUGCCCUUCGGUUCGGUAUAACUCGGGGAAACCCGUGCUAAUACCGAAUACGCCCUUACGGGGAAAGAUUUAUCGCCGAUGCGAGCGGCCCGCGUCUGAUUAGCUAGUUGGUGGGGUAAUGGCUCACCAAGGCGACGAGCAGUAGCUGGUCUGAGAGUAUGAUCAACCUGACUGGGACUGAGACGCGGCAGAGUCUCCUACUUGAGGCAGGAGUGGAGAAUAUUGGACAAUGGGCUCAAGCCUGAUCCAGCCAUGCCGCGUGGAUCAUGAAGGCCUUAGGAUUGUAAAGUCCUUUUAACGGGGAAGAUAAUGACAGUACCCGUAGAAUAAGCCCCGGCUAUCUUCGUGCCAGCCGCCGCCGUAA
rnacentral:rRNA from 1 species